AAGAAGCCAGCCUACUGGGCAGCAAAUAAGGAGAGGUCCUAUAACACAGGGCUCAGGGACCCCAGCCAAAUCUAGGAUCUUUUGGAAGCUAGGAAUGAGAGCAGAAAGGACAUGCAAAGAAUGACUAUCAAUGCUGGCAGUCUGGAAGGCUAAGACGCAGAAUGGAGCCUGUUAACCCGAGUGGCCACAUAGACAAGGUCUCGGGAAAGCAGCAAUCCUUCAACACUCACUUGUUUAUCAAAUGUUCUCUGAUUAGUUUGUAGAGCUGGUUAUAAAACAAGUUGGUUAGUUGUUCUUUUUAUUUAUAUUAGUGGCUGGAGCGAAAAACAUUAUGUAAAAUCUUUGUAUGAUUUUCAGUUGAGAUAUAAAUCCUGAAGGAGUAGCAAUCCAGAUUAAAUGGGAAAAUGCUACUGAUUUUGUUUUAUAGAUACAGGUCCAAUCCUAUUAUCGUAAAUACCAACCAAUUCAAGAAAAUCUGUCUAAUUAAAAGAUUCCCCGGUUUCAGCUGAUGACCUACUUAUUUCAAGAUGAUUCAAUAUAAUAAAUAUCAACUAAGCAAUACAAUUUGGA